rnacentral:rRNA from 3 species
GGCCUGCGCGGAAGAUGUAACGGGGCUAAACCAUGCACCGAAGCUGCGGCAGCGAACGUAUCACCCAAGACAACUUUACGGAGUUGACGAUUGACGGAGCGAAGCGACGUCAAAGCGUUCAUUAAAGUCGAGUUGGCUUAGGGAUACGUUCGUUGGGUAGGGGAGCGUUCUGUAAGCCUGUGAAGGUGUGUCGUGAGGCAUGCUGG